GUAGGGAGCGAGCGUUGUCCGGAUUCAUUGGGCGUAAAGAGCGCGUAGGCGGCCGUGCAAGUCGGUUGUGAAAUCCCGGGGCUCAACCCCGGGACUGCGUCCGAUACUGUGCGGCUCGAGGCAGGUAGGGGAGAGUGGAAUUCCCGGUGUAGCGGUGAAAUGCGCAGAUAUCGGGAGGAACACCGGUGGCGAAGGCGGCUCUCUGGACCUGUCCUGACGCUGAGGCGCGAAAGCUAGGGGAGCGAACAGGAUUAGAUACCCUGGUAGUCCUAGCCGUAAACGUUGGGUGCUAGGUGUGGGCGGAUAUCGACCCCGUCCGUGCCGAAGCUAACGCAUUAAGCACCCCGCCUGGGGAGUACGGCCGCAAGGCUAAA
rnacentral:rRNA from 1 species